GGAGGUGUAGCUCAGUGGUGGAGUGCUUGCCUAGCAUGCCAGAGGCUCUGGGUUCAAUCCCCAGCACUGCAA
rnacentral:tRNA from 1 species